GACGAACGCUGGCGGCGUGCUUAACACAUGCAAGUCGAACGGAAAGGCCCUGCUUUUGUGGGGUGCUCGAGUGGCGAACGGGUGAGUAACACGUGAGUAACCUGCCCUUGACUUUGGGAUAACUUCAGGAAACUGGGGCUAAUACCGGAUAGGAGCUCCUGCUGCAUGGUGGGGGUUGGAAAGUUUCGGCGGUUGGGGAUGGACUCGCGGCUUAUCAGCUUGUUGGUGGGGUAGUGGCUUACCAAGGCUUUGACGGGUAGCCGGCCUGAGAGGGUGACCGGCCACAUUGGGACUGAGAUACGGCCCAGACUCCUACGGGAGGCAGCAGUGGGGAAUAUUGCACAAUGGGCGGAAGCCUGAUGCAGCAACGCCGCGUGCGGGAUGACGGCCUUCGGGUUGUAAACCGCUUUCGCCUGUGACGAAGCGUGAGUGACGGUAAUGGGUAAAGAAGCACCGGCUAACUACGUGCCAGCAGCCGCGGUGAUACGUAGGGUGCGAGCGUUGUCCGGAUUUAUUGGGCGUAAAGGGCUCGUAGGUGGUUGAUCGCGUCGGAAGUGUAAUCUUGGGGCUUAACCCUGAGCGUGCUUUCGAUACGGGUUGACUUGAGGAAGGUAGGGGAGAAAGGAAUUCCUGGUGGAGCGGUGGAAUGCGCAGAUAUCAGGAGGAACACCAGUGGCGAAGGCGGUUCUCUGGGCCUUUCCUGACGCUGAGGAGCGAAAGCGUGGGGAGCGAACAGGCUUAGAUACCCUGGUAGUCCACGCUGUAAACGGUGGGUACUAGGUGUGGGGUCCAUUCCACGGGUUCCGUGCCGUAGCUAACGCUUUAAGUACCCCGCCUGGGGAGUACGGCCGCAAGGCUAAAACUCAAAGGAAUUGACGGGGCCCCGCACAAGCGGCGGAGCAUGCGGAUUAAUUCGAUGCAACGCGUAGAACCUUACCUGGGUUUGACAUGGAUCGGGAGUGCUCAGAGAUGGGUGUGCCUCUUUUGGGGUCGGUUCACAGGUGGUGCAUGCCUGUCGUCAGCUCGUGUCGUGAGAUGUUGGGUUAAGUCCCGCAACGAGCGCAACCCUUGUUCACUGUUGCCAGCACGUUAUGGUGGGGACUCAGUGGAGACCGCCGGGGUCAACUCGGAGGAAGGUGGGGAUGACGUCAAGUCCUCAUGCCCCUUAUGUCCAGGGCUUCACGCAUGCUACAAUGGCUGGUACAGAGAGUGGCGAGCCUGUGAGGGUGAGCGAAUCUCGGAAAGCCGGUCUCAGUUCGGAUUGGGGUCUGCAACUCGACCUCAUGAAGUCGGAGUCGCUAGUAAUCGCAGAUCAGCAACGCUGCGGUGAAUACGUUCCCGGG
rnacentral:rRNA from 1 species